rnacentral:rRNA from 1 species
ACUCAAAUGAAUUGACGGGGACCCGCACAACCAGUGGAGCGUGUGGUUCAAUUUGAGACGAAGCAAAAAACCUCACCAAGGUUUGACAUAUUUAUGAAACUCUAGUGAAAGCUAGAGCCUCCCGCAAGGGACAUUUUUACAGGUGUUGCAUGGCUGUCGUCAGCUCGUGCCGUGAGGUGUUCCAUUAAGUUGGGAAACGAGUGCAACCCCUAUCUUGUGUUACAUAUUCACAAGAGACUGCCUCUGCAUUGCAGAGGAGGAAGGAGGGGCGGACGUCAAGUCCGCAUGACCCUUAUACCUUGGGCUACACACACCCUACAAUGGCGAAGAACAAUGAGUUGCAAGUCGGUAACGACAAGCUAAUCUCUGAAAUUUCGCCUCAGUUCAGAUUGGGGUCUGAAAUUCGACCCCAUGAAGUCGGAAUUGGUAGUAAUCGCAAAUCAGCAGGUUGCGGUGAAUACGUUCUCGGGUCUUGUACACACCGCCCGU